CCGGAGUCUCCUUUUCCCGGCCCCGCCCACUACGCUGGUUUUUCUGGUUGUCUCGGUUGCUGGGUGUGUUAUUGGACCCGCAAAUUUAAAGAAGCUUCUGGUCCUGACUUUCAGGAGCUGCCAAUACUUUACUAUUUUUCAAGUGCCAGUCCCUGAUAGGUGCGAGCCGGUUCUGCUUCCUGGAGAGGAGGAGACGUCUCCUUAAAGAAGAAAGGCACUGAUCAGCUGGGCAGGAUUUUACUUCAACUCCGAAAAUAGGUCUGGAACGGCCUAGGGACCUGGUGCUCCGUGCAGACUUGUUCGCACCACUGGGGAGCUCACACCCUGAUGGGAAACUUGCAGUCUGCUCAAGGUACUUGAAUAUAGAAUUGUGCCCAGAAAGCGGAGAAGAUGAGUUUUUGACCCAACCUGAGGUUCCGGCAAUGGGAGAUCGGACUCUAUUUAGGGCGUCUACAGAGACAGGAUAAGAGAAAAUCAUGAAGAUACUAUUCUAAUUUUGUACUUCUUCCCCCACCCUCAUGCUGUCCUCUAAUUGAAGGCUACUUUUUUGAAGAUGGUACUUCCUCCAGGACUUUACAGACCUUCUUCCCCCGUCAAGCCUAAGUUAGAGACUGCUUCUGAUCCAUAGGAACCUACACUUUUCCACUGACGAUGAGCUGGUCUCUAUAAACUCUUCUCGCCUGUUUAUUCUGAUGACAUCAGUUACCAUGCUGUGAGGUGCCCAGUGGAGAGGCCCACGUGGCAAGAAACUGAAGGAGGCCUCAGGCCAAAAGCCAGUUAAAGAAAUGAGGCCCUCAGCCCAACAGCCUGUGAGAAACUAAAUCUUCCAAUACCCCUUAAGUGCACCUGAAAGCAGAUCCUCCUAAGUGGAUUUGUGAGGUGACUGCAGCCCCAGCCAACAACUGACCAUGACCUAUGAGAGAUCCUGAGCCAGAGGGCUCAGUUAAGCCGCUGGAUUUCUGACCACAGAAAAUGUGUGACAAUAAAUAUUUGUUGUUUUGCCCUAAA